CUGGCUCAGGACGAACGCUGGCGGCGUGCCUAAUACAUGCAAGUCGAGCGGACCUCUUCGGAGGUCAGCGGCGGACGGGUGAGGAACACGUGGGUAAUCUGCCUUUCAGACCGGAAUAACGCCCGGAAACGGGCGCUAAUGCCGGAUACGCCCGCGAGGAGGCAUCUUCUUGCGGGGAAAGGCCCAAAUGGGCCGCUGAGAGAGGAGCCCGCGGCGCAUUAGCUGGUUGGCGGGGUAACGGCCCACCAAGGCGACGAUGCGUAGCCGACCUGAGAGGGUGACCGGCCACACUGGGACUGAGACACGGCCCAGACUCCUACGGGAGGCAGCAGUAGGGAAUCUUCCGCAAUGGGCGCAAGCCUGACGGAGCAACGCCGCGUGAGCGAAGAAGGCCUUCGGGUUGUAAAGCUCUGUUGCUCGGGGAGAGCGGCAUGGGGAGUGGAAAGCCCCAUGCGAGACGGUACCGAG
rnacentral:rRNA from 1 species